AUCCGAUGAUGUGGGCAACAUCUCAAAAGAUCUUUAAAUCUCUCCCGUGCAUUCGAAGUGCUUUCAUCAUCAAACGCCAAAAGAAGAUAUGUCAUUUCUAAGUUU